UACGUAGGGUGCAGGCGUUAAUCGGAAUUACUGGGCGUAAAGCGUGCGCAGGCGGUCUUUUAAGUCAGAUGUGAAAUCCCCCGGGCUUAACCUGGGAACUGCGUUUGAAACUGGAAGGCUUGAGUGUGGCAGAGGGGGGUGGAAUUCCACGUGUAGCAGUGAAAUGCGUAGAGAUGUGGAGGAACACCGAUGGCGAAGGCAGCCCCCUGGGCUAACACUGACGCCUCAUGCACGAAAGCGUGGGGAGCAAACAGG
rnacentral:rRNA from 1 species